rnacentral:rRNA from 1 species
CCUACGGGUGGCAGCAGUAGGGAAUAUUGCUCAAUGGGGGAAACCCUGAAGCAGCAACGCCGCGUGGAGGAUGAAGGUUUUCGGAUUGUAAACUCCUUUUGUUAGAGAAGAUAAUGACGGUAUCUAACGAAUAAGCACCGGCUAACUACGUACCAGCAGCCGCGGUAAUACGGAGGGUGCAAGCGUUACUCGGAAUCACUGGGCGUAAAGAGCGCGUAGGCGGGAUAGCAAGUCAGAUGUUAAAUCCUAGGGCUUAACCAUAGAACUGCAUUUGAAACUGUUAGUCUAGAGUAUGGGAGAGGUAGGUGGAAUGCGUGGUGUAGGGGUGAAAUCCGUAGAGAUCAAGAGGAAUACCCAUUGCGAAGGCGACCUGCUAGAACAUAACUGACGCUGAUGCGCGAAAGCGUGGGGAGCAAACAGGAUUAGAUACCCCAGUAGUC